AACGAACGCUGGCGGCAUGCCUAACACAUGCAAGUCGAACGAGACCUUCGGGUCUAGUGGCGCACGGGUGCGUAACGCGUGGGAACCUGCCCUUAGGUUCGGAAUAACUCCCCGAAAGGGGUGCUAAUACCGGAUAAUGUCUUCGGACCAAAGAUUUAUCGCCUUUGGAUGGGCCCGCGUUGGAUUAGCUAGUUGGUAGGGUAAAAGCCUACCAAGGCGACGAUCCAUAGCUGGUCUGAGAGGAUGAUCAGCCACACUGGAACUGAGACACGGCCCAGACUGAUACGGGAGGCAGCAGUGAGGAAUAUGGGUCAAUGGUCGUAAGCAUGAAACAGAGAAGUAGAGUGUAGGAUGACGGGGCCAUGGGUUGUAAACUGCUGUUAGGAGGGGAGAAAGUGGCAAAAGGGUGGGCUUUUGAAGGUAACGGAUGAAUAAGGAACGGCUAAUUACGUG
rnacentral:rRNA from 1 species